CAACAAACGGCGGCGGACACACGUUCUUUCGACAUUUUUCACAUCGCGCACGAUAAUGUUGAUACUGAAUUAAUUAGUGCGGCAUUAACUGCUCGCGCUCGCGCGUUUACAGCAUUAACAGCAAUAAAAGCAAUAAAAUUCGGCCGCGGAGCGCGCGGUUUCUCCCGACAAAGUCUAUCAAGAUACGUUUGGUUCUAGCCGUGCGCACGGACCGGAAAAUGAUGAAAAAUACGGCUAAAGGCGUGGAGUUAGAGGUUUUUGGGUAUUCUAGGCGCCAGUUUUUAGGAGGGUACCUUCAAAAUCUGGACCGAAGUAUAAUACACCAAGAAAUAUCUCAGGAAUAAUUUUUUCCGCCGAAAAUCAACGAAAUAAUGCAAAAAAAGUGAUGGUAUGGAUGAAAAAUGUAAAAAAUCAUUCUUAGGCAUUCUAGGCGCCAUUUAUUAAGAGGGUACCUUCAAAAUUCUGGCCCGAAGUACAAUACCUCAAGAAAUAUCUCAGGAAUAUUUUUUUACCUCCAAAAAUCAUCAAAAUAUUGCAAAAAAU